rnacentral:lncRNA from 1 species
GAUUCUUGUGCUUCAAGAUGAAAUGCACUUUGUUCGUACCUCCACACUUGUCAGGCCCAAACAUGAUAGAGUAAGGGGAUUCACUAUCGAAUCCCUGAGGUGUCCAUCCAGCUUCCUGAGGACGGAGGUACUUCAAGUAAGCACCACCACACUCAAGUCCUUCCUGGAAACGAACCUCGUACUGAAGAACAACAGUUCCUUCCUUGAGGUUUAGAGGCUC